UCUCAUUUAUGUAUCUAGAGAGAAAAGCACAACCUCACUUCAUCAUUUCAAGGCUGGGGCACUCAAUGCUUUGCUCAGAGUCUCAGAAGCAAUGACAAAUGCACCAAUAAUUCUGACUCUUGAUUGUGACAUGUACUCAAAUGAUCCUCAAACACCUCAGCGCGUCCUUUGUUACUUUUGUGAUCCUUCAAUUAGGUCUAAAUUAGGG
rnacentral:misc_RNA from 1 species